rnacentral:lncRNA from 1 species
GUGCAAGAUAAGCAUUUCAUUACAACUAAAUACUUUAUGGAUUGAUACACCAGAUGACGCCAUUUUUGUUUUACAAAAUGUUCAAACCGAUGCCAACCAUAGUAUAAGCUUAUUAGCUGUGGAAAAUGUGAUAAAAAACCUUUCAAUUUUAAGUGCCAAUGAGCUAAAAGAAGUAUCUACUUUGGUUUUGGGAAAAACAUCAAGACUUGGUGGGAAGAGCUCUAUGUCUUUUUCACUGUCUCUAGAAAGUAUAAUCUGUUCGGCCGUUGCUCAGACUCUUAUAAUUGGUGAGCCAUCUACAGAAUCUAAAACUCCAUUUGGGUUAAUAACUAUUCAACAAAUUGAGCCCGGGGCUAAAUCAAUUGGUUCUUUUGACUUACCUGAUUUAGGUGGAGAUGGUGGCGGU